rnacentral:rRNA from 1 species
GCGUUGUUCGGAUUCAUUGGGCGUAAAGGGUGCGUAGGCGGCGCGGUAAGUCGGGUGUGAAAUCUCGGAGCUUAACUCCGAAACUGCAUUCGAUACUGCCGUGCUUGAGGACUGGAGAGGAGACUGGAAUUUACGGUGUAGCGGUGAAAUGCGUAGAUAUCGUAAGGAAGUCCAGUGGCGAAGGCGGGUCUCUGGACAGUUCCUGACGCUGAGGCACGAAGGCCAGGGGAGCAAACGGGAUUAGAUACCCCGGUAGUCCUGGCAGUAAACGGCGCACGUUUGGUGUGGGAGAAUUCGACCCCUUCUGCGCCGGAGCUAACGCGUUAAACGUGCCGCUGGGGAGUACGGUCGCAAGAUUAAUACUCAAAGAAAUUGACGGGGGCCCGCACAAGCGGUGGAGUAUGUGGCUCAAUUCGAUGCAACGCGAAGAACCUUACCAGGCCUUGACAUGCAUCUCUAAGUUGGUGAAAGCCAGCGAGUCCCGAAAGGGACAAUUUGCACAGGUGCUGCAUGGCUGUCGUCAGCCCGUGUCGUGAGAUGUUGGGUUAAGUCCCGCAACGAGCGCAACCCCUGUGAACUGUUGCCACCGAGCCGAGAGGCUCGAGCACUCUGUUCAGACUGCCCCGCUUUAACGGGGAGGAAGGUGGGGACGACGUCAAGUCAGUAUGGCCCUUACGGCCUGGGCUGCACACGUAGUACAAUGCCCAGCACAGAAUGAUCCGAGACCGCAAGGUGGAGGAAAUCUCUAAAAC